AGCAUCUGAAAUGAAGUAGGACCACCCGCUGAACUUAAG
rnacentral:rRNA from 1 species